GUUUCCCAUGCGUUGCGAAGGAAAGCUGAGCUGUCAGCCUGGCUGAAAUGCAGCGUGGAGUUGGGAGUCUUGGGUUCUAAACCCAGCUCUGCCUCUCUGUCGCUGUGAGACUACAGGCCUGUCACUUCUCCUCUUUGAACCUCUGCUUCCUGGUUGCUCGGCUGGGGCCCAGGAAACCCAGCCCGCCCACGUUGACCAUGCUGCAACGGGAUGUGAAGGCGUGGCCCCAAGGCUAGGCUUGUCCAGUGGUGGCCAGGGUCUGAUGUGUGCUGGGUUUCCUGGGUCUUGAGCCUGCCUGCUUUGAAGUGGGUGUGGUGCAGCUCCCAUGUGAAGGGACUCUGUAGCGGGCCUCCUUGUUCUGGGCAGCCCAUGACCCUCCCUGGGCAGGCACGGGCAUGCUCCCCUAGGACUCAGGUGACAGCAGCCCCAGGAACUUCCUGCUUCUAUUGCCAAUGCUCUGCUUUACACAUUCAUUCAUUUAUUAUUAUUUCUUUUCGCGAUAGAGUCUCGCUGUGUCACCCAGGCUGGAGUGCAGUGGCGUGAUCUUGGCUCACUGCAACCUCUGCCUCCUGGAUUCAAGUGAUUCUCCUGCCUCAGCCUCCUGAGUAGCCGGGACUACAGGCAUGGGCCACCGUGCCUGGCUAAUUUUUGUAUUUUUAGUAGAGCUAGGGUUUCGCCAUGUGGGCCAGGCUGGUCUCAAACUGCUGACCUCAAGUGAUCUGCCUGCCUUAGCCUCCCAAAGUGCUGGGAUUACAGGCAUGUGCCACCAUGCCCAGCCUGCUUUCCACAUUUAUAACCUGCUUCUUUACCUUUACAAUGAUCCAGCAGGAUAGGUAGGAGAGGGAUUCUUUGCUCCGAUUACCAGAUGGGAAAAUCAAGGUCCUAAGUGACCGACCACCACAUGUGCUGAGGUCCUUUGGGCAGGGGGGUGCAGGAUCCCUGCAUCCACUUCUGGUGCUCUUUGUAUCAUCUUCCCCCAUCCCUGUAUCUGCAGAGCAGAGGCACAUGGCUCAUUGGUUCUGAGUAGAAAUCUUGGAGUCAGGUUUGAACUGAGCCUCAGUUUUACUACUACUAGCUGUAUGACUUUCCACAUGUGACUUUCUCUUAAUGAGCCUCAGUUUUGCCUCCUGCAAAAUGGGCCUAGCAAAAGCAGGGUGCCUUUAGUCUCAGCUACUCAGGAGGCUGAGGUGGGUGGAUCCCUUGAGCCCCAAGAGUUUGAGACCAGCCUGGAUAAUGUAGCAAGAGCUCAAAAUUAAAAAAAUAAAAUAAAAUAAAGAUGCAAUACAUGUAAUCUGCUUAGAAUAUUGCCUGGUAUAUAAGAGCUCAGAAAUCUUAGCUACUAAUAUUAUUUGGCAGAUAAGUUUCCCUGUCAUAAUCUUUUCUUCUCUGUAAGAUCCUUUCUCUGUGUCUGGAGAACCCACGCCACAUUUCUCUCCUAGUUUCUGGUGACUCUUUGGUGUUUUUGGCUCAUGGCUGCAUUCUUCAGUCUCCACAUUUGCCUGCACAUGGCUUUCUCCCUUGUGUCUGCAUCUGUUUUUAAAGCCAUUUAGCUGGGUGUGGUGGCUCAUUCCUGUAAUCCCAGCACUUUGGGAGGCCAAGGUGAGUGGAUCGCUUGAGCUCAGGAGUUCGAGACCAGCCCUGGGCAACAUGGCGAAACCCCUCUCUACAAAAAAUACAAAAAUUAGCCAGGCUUUGUGGUGUGCACCUGUGGUCUCAGCUACUAGGGAGGCUGAGGUGGGAGGAUCGCAUGAACUUGGAAGGUGGAGGCUGCAGGGAGCCAAGAUCGCACCACUGCACUUCAGCCUGGGUGACAGAGUGCCACCCUGUCUCAAAAAAAAAAAAAAAAGCCAUUUAAAUUAUUUAUUCUUUAUAUGUAAAAGAUUAUAUGUAACAACAUAGAAAAUUAUGCACAAUAUGCUAAGUGAAACAGUUCACAAAAUUUUAUGUAUUGUAUGUAAACAUUUUGUAAAAAUGCCAAGUUGCUUAGCUAUAUUUUAAAUAUUUUUAAAAUGAACAUGUAUUGUUUUAGUAAUUUGUAAAAAAUAUUUAUGAUGAGUGUAAAAAGCAUUUUCUAAUUGGUCAACCAAAAAGAUAUUCAGUGUUUCUUUUGAUCAAGACGAACACAUGUCUAUAACUAAAGUGGACAAGAGGGUAUUUUUUU
rnacentral:lncRNA from 1 species